CUCAACACUGAGAAGUUACUUAGAUAGAGUUGUUCAGGCUUCACGUGACCUUCUUUAUCUUUGACAGAGGUCGAGGAGGCCCUAGAGGAGGAGGAGGAGGAGGAGGAGGAAGAGGAGGAGGAAGAAGAAGAAAUUGAGGCUCAAUCCCAUUACCAGUCUGGAUCGCUGUGUAGUGUCUGCUCAGUCUGUGAGAGCUGUGGCCACUGUGACAGCUGCCCCUGUGAGGAGGGUGACGAAUCGGACCACUGCAAGAGCUGUGAACUGUGCGCUCUCUGCUACAUGUGCCCCAUCUUCUGUGACACUGUUUGCGCACCAGGUGGCUUUGUGGAUGAUUUCACUGGAUCAAUCUACCAGUCGGUUGUCUCAUUUCUCUGAACACCACAACGCUGACUUCCGCCCCGGCGAUUGUGACCACAGGUCUCUGCAGCUUUGGAUCACCUUGUCAUCCCCAUGACAUCCACGGCGGCGGAGAAAGUUACUCGUAGUGCAGACUGAGAUCAGGUUUACCCUGUCAGCUGAUCGGCGUCAAACAUCACUUGUGGACAAAGAAACUGAUCCCUGGUCUGCCUGACUGGAUACUUUUUCUGCCCGCAGCCUGUGUUACUGUGACCUUUUUAAGAGCAAAUAACUACUUGUCUGCAUGUCAAUCCGGGAUGUCAGUGCAGGAGGUCAAUUCAUUAAUAAGAAAAAUGUUUUUAGCCAAGACUGUUAUUUAAUUGGUUUAUAUGUCUGUUUUUAAAGUUCAGGGCCAGUUGCUCAUUUUGUUUUCUGUUUUGUGUCAGAUACUGUAAAUUACAUACAUUACCCAAAGAUACAAUGGUACCUACCCCAGUUUUCAUGAAGCCUUUAAAGUAUGUGUUUUUAAACCAUAACACCAGCAACAUCAUAACAUACAUAUGGAAUAUGUUCUGUUUAUGAACGCUUCAGAGAGCAUUACAUCCACUGUCACAACUGGUGACCCAUAAAACAGCAGAGUAAUCGGCAGUUUUUCAGCGCGGCUUUUGUGGUUUGGGCUUUUUCCAGAAUCAGAAAAAUGUGCUUUGCGAAACUGUUGUGCACAGAAAAUGCGAUGUCAUGCUGUAUAUAUGUGCCUUUUUGUCUUAAACCUGAUUUCAUCACUCUUGCUCUCAAAGCCAUGUCCAGGUCAAGCUGAUCAGCUCACCCAUUGGUGGUCCACUCUCAAGUAAUAUUUUCCAAAAACAACCUUAUUCACACAGGCUUAUAGAGAGAGCACAUAGAACCGCUUAUGGCUGUUGAUGCACCAAUCUACAAAACAAAUGUUUCACAUAGGCAUAUACUAGAACCAGGGGCGGAACUUGAAUUAUCAGAGUCAGUGGAACCUGGUUGUUCUGUUAAAGCACUCGUCUUUCUGUCCCUGAUAGCCAAGACUACUAAGCUUGUUUGUACACUGAAGUAGGCCCUGUCUAGACGGCAGCUGUCAUAAUUAGGUUGUGUUUUAGUGUGUUUAGUUGGAAAUAAAAUCAAUGAUCCACUAAUUCA
rnacentral:lncRNA from 1 species